rnacentral:rRNA from 1 species
AGCAGCCGCGGUAAUUCCAGCUCCAAUAGCGUAUAUUAAAGUUGUUGCAGUUAAAAAGCUCGUAGUUGAAUUUCGGGAUUAGUACGUUGGUCGUGCCUUAGGUACGUACUGGUGUUACUGGUUCCUACCUUCUGACGAACCAUCAUGUCAUUAAUUUGGUGUGGCGGGGAAUCAGGACUGUUACUUUGAAAAAAUUAGAGUGUUUAAAGCAGGCUAACGCCUGAAUACAUUAGCAUGGAAUAAUGAAAUAGGACGUUCGAUCCUAUUUUGUUGGUUUCUAGGAUUGACGUAAUGAUUAAUAGGGAUAGUUGGGGGCAUUAGUAUUCAAUUGUCAGAGGUGAAAUUCUUGGAUUUAUUGAAGACUAACUACUGCGAAAGCAUUUGCCAAGGAUGUUUUCAUUAAUCAAGAACGAAAGUUAGGGGAUCGAAGACGAUCAGAUACCGUCGUAGUCUUAACCAUAAACUAUGCCGACUAGGGAUCGGAUGAUGUUAAUUUUUUAAUGACUCAUUCGGCGCCUUACG